UCGCCCCUGCGAUGUGCGUGAUUGACAUCCGUUUUUGAGCCAACGUUUUUGAACUGGGGACCUUAUCCGGGAUUGUGGUGUGCAUGUCCGCUUUUUCCUGAGCUGGUCGGGAAGCAGAAAGCCUAAAGCAAUCCAUAAAGGGCCCACCUGUAAAGCAGGUUCGAAAAGAUGCUUGACACGGCAUAGGCGGGGGUUUU
rnacentral:other from 1 species